rnacentral:rRNA from 1 species
CACGUAGGCGGUCCGUCAAGUGUCUUGUGAAAGCCCUCGGCCCAACCGAGGAAUUGCAGGGCAAACUGACGGACUUGAGGCAGGUAGGGGCGCACGGAACUCUUGGUGGAGCGGUGGAAUGCGUAGAUAUCAGGAGGAACGCCGGUGGCGAAAGCGGUGCGCUGGGCCUGUCCUGACGCUGAGGUGCGAAAGCCAGGGGAGCGAACAGGAUUAGAUACCCUGGUAGUCC